GACGAACGCUGGCGGCGUGCCUAAUACAUGCAAGUAGAACGCACAGUUUAUACCGUAGCUUGCUACACCAUAGACUGUGAGUUGCGAACGGGUGAGUAACGCGUAGGUAACCUGCCUGGUAGCGGGGGAUAACUAUUGGAAACGAUAGCUAAUACCGCAUAAUAUUGAUUAUUGCAUGAUAAUUAAUUGAAAGGUGCAAUUGCACCACUACAAGAUGGACCUGCGUUGUAUUAGCUAGUAGGUGAGGUAACGGCUCACCUAGGCGACGAUACAUAGCCGACCUGCGAGGGUGAUCGGCCACACUGAGACUGAGACACGGCCCAGACUCCUACGGGAGGCAGCAGUAGGGAAUCUUCGGCAAUGGACGAAAGUCUGACCGAGCAACGCCGCGUGAGUGAAGAAGGUUUUCGGAUCGUAAAGCUCUGUUGUAAGAGAAGAACGGGUGUGAGAGUGGAAAGUUCACACUGUGACGGUAUCUUACCAGAAAGGGACGGCUAACUACGUG
rnacentral:rRNA from 1 species